AAAAGUCGUAACAAGGUUUCCGUAGGUGAACCUGCGGAAGGAUCAUUAACGUGUCGUAGUAUCGAAAUGUACACUGUGAACUGUAUGCUUAACUUGGACGAGAGGUUUCCGGUGAGGAAUUGAACUAGAAGACUGCUUCUACGCCUCUCGUCACCCGUUAAACAACUUAUACACUUAUUCCAAAGGUGCCUGUCGGCCUGUCCGACGGGAUAUGAGACAAACGAGAGAACAACUUCUAACGGUGGAUCUCUUGGCUCGUGCAUCGAUGAAGAACGUUGCCAGUUGCGAUAAGUAGUGUGAAUUGCAGAAUGAAGUGAAUCAUCGAAUCUUUGAACGCAAAUUGCACUCUCUGGAUAUCCGGAGAGUAUGUCUGUCUGAGCGUCGUGUCAAAACUAAACACCCAGGUGUUGAUUGGGGGCUCUAGAGUCGCGAGGCUCUAGUCUCUCGAAGUGUCUGAGACCUGCGGCUCAGAACUACGCUGGCUGAACAGUCGUCUUAAUCCGCUUAACCGGCUGACAGUUAAAAAGUUCCGAGCGCUUCGCAGUCUCUGUCGUGUGGCUACUGCUGCCACCAAGUACCAACUUUGACCUCAGAUCAGGCAAGACUACCCGCUGAAUUUAAGCAUAUCA
rnacentral:rRNA from 1 species